rnacentral:snRNA from 1 species
GUGCAUCUCCAAGUGAAGUUA